rnacentral:rRNA from 1 species
GUGAGUAGUUCAGAGUUUGAUCCUGGCUCAGGAUGAACGCUAGCUACAGGCUUAACACAUGCAAGUCGAGGGGCAUCAGGAACAAAGCUUGCUUUGUUUGCUGGCGACCGGCGCACGGGUGAGUAACGCGUAUCCGACCUACCCAUAACUCGGGCACAGCCGCUCGAAAGAGCGAUUGAUUCCCGAUAUGUCAUAUAAGUCUAUUAUAUGAUGAAAGAUUUAUCGGUUAUGGAUGGGGAUGCGUAAGAUUAGGUAGUAGGCGGGGUAACGGCCCACCUAGCCGACGAUCUUUAGGGGUUCUGAGAGGAAGGUCCCCCACACUGGUACUGAGACACGGACCAG